UACGUAGGGUGCAGGCGUUAAUCGGAAUUACUGGGCGUAAAGCGUGCGCAGGCGGUUUGCUAAGACAGGUGUGAAAUCCCCGGGCUUAACCUGGGAACUGCGCUUGUAACUGGCAAGCUAGAGUGUGGCAGAGGGGGGUGGAAUUCCACGUGUAGCAGUGAAAUGCGUAGAGAUGAGGAGGAACACCGAUGGCGAAGGCAGCCCCCUGGGUCGACACUGACGCUCAGGCACGAAAGCGUGGGGAGCAAACAGG
rnacentral:rRNA from 1 species